AGAGUUUGAUCAUGGCUCAGGACGAACGCUGGCGGCGUGCUUAACACAUGCAAGUUGAACGAAGUACCUCGAGUUUACUCUUGGUAACUUAGUAGCGGACGGGUGAGUAACGCGUGAAUAACCUACCUUUGUGAGGGGGACAACAGUUGGAAACGGCUGCUAAUACCGCAUAAGACCACGGUGUCGAUUGGCACAGUGGUAAAAGAUUUAUCACACAAAGAUGGAUCCGCGUCCCAUUAGCUAGUUGGUAAGGUAACGGCUUACCAAGGCGACGAUGGGUAGCCGACCUGAGAGGGUGAUCGGCCACACUGGAACUGAGACACGGUCCAGACUCCUACGGGAGGCAGCAGUGGGGAAUAUUGGGCAAUGGGCGCAAGCCUGACCCAGCAACGCCGCGUGAGGGAAGAAUGUCUUCGGAUUGUAAACCUCUGUCCUUGGGGACGAAAAAAAUGACGGUACCCAAGGAGGAAGCUCCGGCUAACUACGUGCCAGCAGCCGCGGUAAUACGUAGGGAGCAAGCGUUGUCCGGAAUUAUUGGGCGUAAAGGGUGCGUAGGCGGUUUACCAAGUCAGAUGUGAAAUCCCCGGGCUUAACCCGGGACGUGCAUUUGAAACUGGUAGACUUGAGUAAAGAAGAGGUAAGUGGAAUUCCUAGUGUAGCGGUGGAAUGCGUAGAUAUUAGNAGGAACACCAGUGGCGAAGGNNACUUACUGGNCUUUUACUGACGCUGAGGCACGAAAGCGUGGGGAGCAAACAGGAUUAGAUACCCUGNAGUCCACGCUGUAAACGAUGGAUACUAGUGUGGGGGANAUANAACCUCUGUGCCGGANCUAACGCAUUAAGUAUCCCGNCUGGGGAGUANGGUC
rnacentral:rRNA from 1 species